rnacentral:rRNA from 1 species
UACGUAGGGUGCAAGCAUUAAUCGGAAUUAUUGGGCGUAAAGGGCGUGUAGGCGGUAAUGUAAGUCAGAUGUGAAAUUCCAAAGCUCAACUUUGGAGCUGCAUUUGAAACUAUAAUACUAAGAGGGAUGGCGGAGAAAGCGGAAUUCCACGUGUAGCGGUGAAAUGCGUAGAUAUGUGGAAGAACACCUGUGGCGAAAGCGGCUUUCUAGCUAUCACCUGACGCUGAGACGCGAGAGCAAGGGGAGCAAACAGG